GUCCACGCCCUAAACGAUGUCAACUAGGUGUUGGUGGGGUUAAACCCAUUAGUACCGUAGCUAACGCGUGAAGUUGACCGCCUGGGGAGUACGGCCGCAAGGUUAAACUCAAAGGAAUUGACGGGGACCCGCACAAGCGGUGGAUGAUGUGGAUUAAUUCGAUGCAACGCGAAAACCUUACCUACCCUUGACAUGUCCAGAAGCCUGAAGAGAUUUGGGUGUGCUCGAAAGAGAACUGGAACACAGGUGCUGCAUGGCUGUCGU
rnacentral:rRNA from 1 species